CGGUCUUAUCUUUGUCGGGAGCACUCUCUGGCGAGAGGACGGGUCUGUUAUGACUAAAAACACUAAAACUGAUGAAUUCUAUUUUAUUUCAAUAAUAGAAACUGCUUGAUUCUGAUUUCUAGUUGACUACAGGAGGUAUCUUCAGGAGACUAGUUUCGGAUGCAACUAAUCGCGUGCUUUCCUUUCAUAAGACAAGGACUGCACAGAAAACGAAAAAAAAAAAAAUGGAGAACACACAGACGGCCUAGCAACGGUGGAGGGAGACAAGGACAGAAAUUUUUGUACUCGCACACGAACACUGCUGGAGGAUUUCAACUGGGACUUGUUUGACCACCCUCCUUACAAACCUGAUAUCGCUCUGAGUGACGGUCACCUGUUUAUCUACCUGAAGAAUUGGUUGAGAUCACAGUUUUCCAACAGUAAUGAGAAGUUGAUGGAAGGUGACAAAAUGUGGCUGAGCUCAUGGACGGCAGACUUGACACAGGCAUACAAAAACUUAAUUCUCCGACACAAGUGCCUCAAUUGUGGUGCUGGCAAAGUUGAGAAGUAGCUUAAUGGUGUAGAUGGUGAUCACUCGCCCAAGGAGUCCUACCGUCUGUGAAAAUGAUUACGGAACUGAAUUAGAGGCCUGGACUGGAAGAGCCACUGAAAGUGUCUCUGAAAGACUAGAAGCUUGCGAAAUGUCGCGCCAUUCUCCUCCAAUCGUGUCACAAAACGUGAUGAUGUCAGAAGACUGUCUCAAUACGUCACGUCUCGAAAAUCUAUAAUCGAGUGGAUUUUGUUCAGUGCGCAUGGCACUCCCUACAAUAUGGACUACCAACACCACCUAUACGGUGUGCUUCAAAGCAAGAAUGAUUUUCGACUACGCUAGCUCAGACGGUUGAAAAUUUCAUUACGCUAAUGUAAAGUGGGACUAAACAGUAUCUAAUCGCUGCGCCAUAGCUCAAGCGAUUAGUCGCUGGCUUCCCACCGCGGCGGCCCUGGUUCGAUCCCGGGUCUGGUCA